ACGAACGCUGGCGGCGUGGAUAAGACAUGCAAGUCGAACGCUGAUCACGAGGGUAGCAAUAUUCGUGGUUGGAGUGGCGCAAGGGUGCGUAACACGUGGGUAAUCUGCCGUGAAGUUUGGGAUAACUCGCUGAAAGGCGAGCUAAUACCGGAUGUGAGAAUUGGGGAGCAUUUUCCGAUUCUCAAAGCUGGGGACCGCAAGGCCUGGCGCUUCACGAUGAACCCGCGGCCUAUCAGCUAGUUGGUGAGGUAACGGCCCACCAAGGCUAAGACGGGUAGCUGGUCUGAGAGGACGACCAGCCACACUGGAACUGAGACACGGUCCAGACACCUACGGGUGGCAGCAGUCGAGAAUUUUUCACAAUGGGCGAAAGCCUGAUGGAGCGACGCCGCGUGGGGGAUGAAUGGCUUCGGCCCGUAAACCCCUGUCAUUGCGAAAACGCAUAUAAGAUGAUGCGUGACUGGUAGCGAAGAGAAGGCCCGGCUAACUACGUGCCAGCAGCCGCGGUAAUACGUAGGGGUCCAAGCGUUGUCCGGAUUCAUUGGGCGUAAAGGCGUGCGUAGGUGGCUCGGGUAAGUCUGAUGUGAAAUCUCCGAGCUCAACCUCGGGAACUGGCAUCCGGAUACUACCUGGCUAGAGGUAGGUAGGGGGAGAUCGGAAUUACUUGGUGUAGCAGGUGAAAUGCGCUAGAUAUCAAGUGGAACACCAGUGGCGAAGGCGGAGUCCCUGGGACUUAACUCCUGACCUGCAGGCACGAAAGCUAGGGGAGCGAACUGGAUUAGAUACCCAUGGUAGUCCUAGCCUGUAAACGUUGGUGCUAGGUUGCUGGUAAGGAUAUCGACCCCUUCCUGUGGCCGUAGCUAACGCGUUAAGCACGUGCCGCCUGGGGAAGUACGGUCGCAAGAUCUAAAACUCAAAGAAAUUGACGGGGGCCCGCACAAGCGGUGGAGCAUGUGGCUUCAAUUCGAUGCGAACGCGAAGAACCUUACCUGGGCCUUGACAUGCAAGUAGUAGAAGAGCGAAGCCUCGAAGAGGGUCGCUCAUUACAGCCUGCACAGGUGGUGCAUGGCUGUCGUCAGCUCGUGCCGUGAGGUGUUGCCUUAAGUGGCGCAACGAGCGCAACCCCUUUCCUUAGUUGCCAGCGGAUCAUGCCGGGAACUCUAGGGAUACUGCCGGCGCCAAGCCGGAGGAAGGCGGGGAUGAGGUCAAGUCAUCAUGCCCCUUAUGUCCAGGGCUGCACACAUGCUACAAUGCGUGGUACAGAGGGCUGCGAUCCCGUGAGGGGGAGCGAAUCCCAAAAAGCCACGCUCAGUUCGGAUCGAGGUCUGCAACCCGACCUCGUGAAGUCGGAGUCGCUAGUAAUCGCAGAUCAGCAAUGCUGCGGUGAAUACGUUCCCGGGCCUUGUACACACCGCCCGUCACACCACGAAAGUGGGCAACACCCGAAGCCGGUGGCCCAACCCUUGUGGAGGGAGCCGUCGAAGGUGGGGCUCGCGAUUGGGGUG
rnacentral:rRNA from 1 species